CUCAGUUUUUUUUAUAGUGCGAGUACUGGCUUUGCGCCGGAACUCAAUCGGUUUGGGUCUGGCAGCAGUCCUGCAGACCCCGGGGCAAUUUUUCCGCUGUCGAGCACAUUUUUGCCAGAAGAACAGCGACUGUCAUCGUUUCAUGUCAAGUUUUGUGUUUGUAAUGUUAUUUUUAUAUCAGUUAACAUCUAGUCACAUUUUUACUGUGCUUCAUACUAACCAAUUUCUUGUAACAUGUAAUUAAACGGAUUGCCAGUCGUCAGAUGAGGUCCCAGAUGGGAGGCUUUUUCCUGCUGCUUCCGGAGAGGGCCGCCCGGGGAGACCUUCCACCUUCUCCCUCUUCGGGCUGCCAGUCACCCUGCUCCUGGGACCAGUAGGACACACUACCUCUUCAAGCCACCACCGCCUACCACCAAAGGAGUUAUUGUGCCAUCAGAACGCAAGUUUUAUUGUUAUAAACAUUUUUCGAAGGACUUGAUAUUAAAAGGGGCCCCCAAAUUAUUUAUUAUUGUUAUUUAUUUUUAAGCUAAUUGUUAUUUAUUAAUUUGAAAGUUAUUUAUUUAUUUAUUUAAAGAGUAAGAUUCCAUAAAAAUUUUUACAGUUACCAUCUUUUAAUUUAUUUCACUGUUAGGCCUAAUUUUUGCUACUGGUACCAGUUAUGUAAGGUUUAGAAGGGUAAACUUAAAAUUCUUAUUUAUUUAAUUUUUUUGAGAAAAGAGUUUAUUUAAAAGAAAUUCUUUGGAUGGGUAAAUUUGAUUGUUGAUUAUUGUUACUUUGUUGUUUUUGAGAUAUUAUAGGCAUUUGUUCACAA